AUGAACGCUAGCUACAGGCUUAACACAUGCAAGUCGAGGGGAAACGACAUCGAAAGCUUGCUUUUGAUGGGCGUCGACCGGCGCACGGGUGAGUAACGCGUAAGCAACCUGCCCUUCAGAUGGGGACAACAGCUGGAAACGGCUGCUAAUACCGAAUACGUUCUUUUUGUCGCAUGGCAGAGGGAAGAAAGGGAGGCUCUUCGGAGCUUUCGCUGAAGGAGGGGCUUGCGUCUGAUUAGCUAGUUGGAGGGGUAACGGCCCACCAAGGCGACGAUCAGUAGCCGGUCUGAGAGGAUGAACGGCCACAUUGGGACUGAGACACGGCCCAGACUCCUACGGGAGGCAGCAGUGAGGAAUAUUGGUCAAUGGGCGAGAGCCUGAACCAGCCAAGUAGCGUGCAGGAAGACGGCCCUAUGGGUUGUAAACUGCUUUUAUAAGGGAAUAAAGUGAGAGUCGUGACUCUUUUGCAUGUACCUUAUGAAUAAGGACCGGCUAAUUCCGUG
rnacentral:rRNA from 1 species